GAUGCCUACGGGUGGCUGCAGUCGAGAAUUUUUCUCAAUGGGGGAAACCCUGAAGGAGCGACGCCGCGUGGAGGAUGAAGGUCUUCGGAUUGUAAACUCCUGUCAUUGGGGAACAAGUCGCUUACGUUAACUGCGUGAGCGUUGAUAGUACCCGAAGAGGAAGAGACGGCUAACUCUGUGCCAGCAGCCGCGGUAAUACAGAGGUCUCAAGCGUUGUUCGGAUUCAUUGGGCGUAAAGGGUGCGUAGGCGACGCGCUAAGUCUGGUGUGACAUCUUGGAGCUUAACUUCGAAAAUGCAUUCGAUACUGCCGUGCUUGAGGACUGGAGAGGAGACUGGAAUUUAAGGUGUAGCGGUGAAAUGCGUAGAUAUCGGGAGGAACACCGGUGGCGAAGGCGGGUCUCUGGACCGAUACUGACGCUGAGGCGCGAAAGCGUGGGGAGCAAACAGGAUUAGAUACCCUAGUAGUCC
rnacentral:rRNA from 1 species